CACCGCGGUUAUACGAGGGGCCCAAGUUGAUACUUUCCGGCGUAAAAAGUGGUUAUGGAAUAUAUAAACUAGAGCCGUACUCCUUCAAAGCUGUCGCACGCACCCGAAGAACAGAAGCCCAACCACGAAGGUGGCUUUAUAACCCCUGACCCCACGAAAGCUAUGACA
rnacentral:rRNA from 1 species